CAACAGGAGCUUUUGGCGGGAAUCAGGAAGGCUGCUGCUUGCAAACCGCCCAAAUUUGCAGCCUCUCACUGAGGGGAUUCUCCCCCCACCCCACCCCGUGCAUAUAACCUUCCUUUUCUUUUUAGUCCCCUCCGCCUCCUUCAGAUGUUUGCUUGUUCCUGCCACCUUUUGGGGGACGGGGGGUGCAGCUUGGCAGAAAAAAACAGUGGUGAUAAAUAAUUGUGUGGUUAUAAGCCCCAGCCCUUUCAGUCAGUGUGCCAGGAGUGUGAUCACGCUGAGGAGAAACCAAAUGGGGUCUCUUGGGGCCUGAGGAGAUUGCCCCCUUGGGGUCUAUGCUCCUUGAUUCGGAAAAAAGUCCCUCAGAAAGGGAACCUUUCAGCAUGUUGCCUAAGUGGGAGGCUUGCCCGAAUGGGAUCAAUAGAGCCAAUUUCCAAGAAAAUAAAAAUUAAAACACAAGAGCUCAAACCAAGAGCUGUCUAAUGGACCGAGACAGGACUGGACCUGGGGAUUGAGUGACAGCUACCUAACCUACCUGCUAGCCUGCCCGAAAUUUGAUUGGUCUUGUCUCGGCGCAUGCAGAGGCUGAUAAACCCGUCACGUUGAGGAUGACCUCCCUAUACCUUGAAAAAGAACCCUGCAUGUAACAUUGCCUAUGGCUAGUUGCCCAAUGAGGAACACACUGAUAGAGAAGAAGCAUGCCCUCCUGUGCAUCAUCGGGAGAGGGCAUAACCUCCCUAAAUGCCUGCCUGGAGUCGGUGAUGGGCUGGAUGAGGGAUAACAUACUGAGACUGAAUCCGGCUAAGACGGAGGUACUCAUUGUACAGGGUCGGAACUCGAGAGAUGAUUUUGUUCUGCCUGUUCUGGAUGGGGUCACACUUCCCUGGAAGAAACAGAAAUGCUUGAAGCAGAGACCAUUCAGAGAGGCUUGGAAAGAUGCAUAGCAACAAGAGCCCUUUUUAGCCUACUUUUCAAUAGGCUUAUGAGAUCACCCAGCAUUCUCUGUCUGUGUGUGUCCCACCCCCCACCCAUCAACUUCACAACACCUGGACCAAUAUGAACCAAAUUGGGUACAGUUGUAGGGACACCUCAAUGGUGUAGUGAUGAUGUCAUUCACCCCGAUGCAAGAUGGCGGAUGCAUGAACAUUUGAGGUGCAAGAGAUCUAACAUGUGGACCGCAAUUUGAAUUGGAUUUAGUCCAGUUGUAGAGCCGGUGAAAGGAAAGUAGUUCUUACUAGAACAACUGGUUUUCCUCCUGCAGUUAUCAUGUCUUGCAUGACAGAUGUAGAGUUGUUGGACUGGAUACUUCCGGGUACUUAUUAUUCCUUCUGAAUCUUCUAUACUAAAUAAGUAGGAAGUGGUGUCACAUGAAGAGCAGUUUCCUGCACAGAUCCAAGCCCCUAUUGCUGACUUUGUGGCUUGUGUACUCCAGAUCUUGCUUUUGUGGAAUAGCACUUGUCUUAUGUGCUCAAAUUACCUAGGAGAAAGGGUAAGGUGUAAUCCAGAGGGGGCCUGCCCUCUGCCUUUUUUUUUUUUUAAACAGCCCCCUAGUUACUGUUUUUAGAAGACUUCAGAAAACCACAUGGCUCUGUGGUCACCAGGAUUCGACAGCGUCUCGAUGGCACAACUUUACAGCGGGCCAUGACUGAGCUAAAACUGAGAGGAGUUGGAGAGUGGAUCUUGUGGAUUUCAUUAAGGGCCCCCUCAUGUUCCUUCUGUAAUUCUAGCACUGCUCUGUAAACUGCACAUGAAAACAGAGUUAUGCCAGGAUGUCAGUGUAGCCAGCAACAACAACAUCGUUUCAGUUAUUUACAGAAUGAUUUGUUUUGGUAUUCAUUUGUGGAUU